rnacentral:rRNA from 1 species
GAUGAACGCUGGCGGCGUGCCUAAUACAUGCAAGUCGAGCGAACAGACGAGGAGCUUGCUCCUCUGACGUUAGCGGCGGACGGGUGAGUAACACGUGGAUAACCUACCUAUAAGACUGGGAUAACUUCGGGAAACCGGAGCUAAUACCGGAUAAUAUAUUGAACCGCAUGGUUCAAUAGUGAAAGACGGUUUUGCUGUCACUUAUAGAUGGAUCCGCGCCGCAUUAGCUAGUUGGUAAGGUAACGGCUUACCAAGGCAACGAUGCGUAGCCGACCUGAGAGGGUGAUCGGCCACACUGAAACUGAGACACGGUCCAGGCUCCUACGGGGGGCAGCAGUAGGGAAUCUUCCGCAAUGGGCGAAAGCCUGCCGGAGCAACGCCGCGGGGGUGAUGAAGGUCUUCGGAUCGUAAAACUCUGUUAUUAGGGAAAAAAAAAUGGGUAAGUAACUAUGCACGUCUUGACGGUACCAAAUCAAAAAGCCACGGCUAACUACGU